rnacentral:rRNA from 1 species
UACGGAGGAUGCGAGCGUUAUCCGGAUUUAUUGGGUUUAAAGGGUGCGUAGGCGGCUUUUUAAGUCAGCGGUGAAAUUUUGCAGCUUAACUGUAACAGUGCCGUUGAUACUGGGGAGCUAGGAUUUGGUUGCUGUGGGUGGAAUGUGUGGUGUAGCGGUGAGAUGCUUAGAGAUCACACAGAAUAUCGAUUGCGAAGGCAGCUCACAAAGCCAAGAUUGACGCUGAGGCACGAAAGUGUGGGGAUCAAACAGGA